rnacentral:rRNA from 1 species
UAGGAUAAGGGGACACCGAGUGCCAGCAUCAUAUGCUGGCUGUCCAGAUGUGUAAAAUACAUCUGUUAGCAAGGGCCGGGCAAGACCGGUGCCAGCCGCCGCGGUAACACCGGCGGCCCGAGUGGUGAUCGUGAUUAUUGGGUCUAAAGGGUCCGUAGCCGGUUUGGUCAGUCCUCCGGGAAAUCUGAUAGCUCAACUAUUAGGCUUUCGGGGGAUACUGCCAGACUUGGAACCGGGAGAGGUAAGAGGUACUACAGGGGUAGGAGUGAAAUCUUGUAAUCCCUGUGGGACCACCUGUGGCGAAGGCGUCUUACCAGAACGGGUUCGACGGUGAGGGACGAAAGCUGGGGGGCACGAACCGGAUUAGAUACCCGGGUAGUCCCAGCCGUAAACGAUGCUCGCUAGGUGUCAGACAUGGCGCGACCGUGUCUGGUGCCGCAGGGAAGCCGUGAAGCGAGCCACCUGGGAAGUACGGCCGCAAGGCUGAAACUUAAAGGAAUUGGCGGGGGAGCACAACAACGGGUGGAGCCUGCGGUUU